UAUUAAUUGAUAGAUAUAGCGGAAAAUAAUAAGAGAUAUAGCGAGAUAGAUAGAGAGAGAAAGAAAGGAAAAAGAAGGAAAGAAUGAGAGGGGGAGAAAGAGAGACAAACAGAAAGACAAAUAGACAGAGAGAUAAAGCUUCUUCAAAGUCAAACACUUUGUUCCACACUACAUAUGUAUAUGAAACGAUAACGAAGCAGUCUCAAUGUUCGAUCGAUAAAAUUUCAUUGACGUUUCCGACUUUCGAACGUCAAACAUUGUCCAUCGAAAUAUAGGAAAAGCAGAUUUUUAAUGGUACAUCGAGAAGGAUCCUAAUAAGUGGAAGAUGAGAAAUAGAAAUACUAUUGAAAUAGUUUGUCGCAAAAUAUAGUGAAAUGUGAUAUGAAUGGGGUACCAGAAAAAUAUUUUUAUAUCUGUAUCUUUAAUUACAAAUCGUUUUCAAUGUUUAAAAUAAAUUGGUAUAUUAUGGAGAAAUGAGAGAAAAAUCAGAGAAAAGGAAGAAAGAGGAAGAUAUAAAAGAGAUAUAAAAGAGGGAAAAAGAAAAAUUUCGAGUCACCUGCAUUACACGAUGCAAUGCAAAAGAAAUACAAGCAGAAAAAAAAUGUCGUACAUUAUAAGCCAGUUUUGUGAGGUUCAUGUUUUGACUGUGAAGAAGAUAUAUUGAUAUAAUAAUCUCGCUAGUUCGAGACGCAGAAGAUGCGUUAAAUGCUACAUACGUAAAAGCUGACUACUCUAAAAAGACAAAGUCGUGAAUGACUUCUCCUUUGUUCGCCGGUUUCUCGGUGAAAAUAUUAAACCUUUUGUCCUUCAAUUUAUUAAUAUUUUUAAAUAAUAAUUUUGGAUUCACUAAACGAAUAGAUAGAAGAACGUUGCGACCGAUGGCCCGUCGUGGAAAUAACGGACAAAAAGCUUUAAAAGGAAUAUUCAUCAUGAUUUUCUUAAAAUAAUUUGGAGAAAUAAAAAAGAAAAUGAAGAUUAAGAAAUCUAUGCGAACGAUCACAGGUCGAUCGUUGAGUUAUAUAAAUUAGAAGAUCUAAAUCAUGUGAUUGACUUUUGGCUGACCAGAACUUGAGGAGAGUCGGAAAUGUAACUGCCUAGAUUAGCAGCGAUUUUUCUACGACACACACGUAUACAUAAAGAAACGAUAUAGAAGGAGAAAUCUCCUUGAGAUGCGAAGAUUUUUUCAACGCCAUUGCAAAAACGGCGUCAUCUUCGUUGUCGGUUUCAUGAAGCGAGUCACGUUAAAAGACAGAGAGAGAGAGAGAGAGAGAGAGAGAGAGACAGAGAGAGAGAGAGAGAGAGAGAAAGAGAGAGAGAGAGAGAGAGAGAGAGAGAGAGAGAGAGAGAGAGAGAGAGAGAGAGUGUGUGAUCGUCUACCGAGGCCGUCGGACGAUCCCUCAGCUACGUCACUAAGGGUACGUCGGUGCUUGUUUCCGCCUUUGGUCGCCUGCAGGUGACACGAUAUAAGCAAGAUGGCGGCGGCUCGUGCCGCACCUGCUCUCGAUGUCGGUACCAGCGGACCGCGACUACCACCGCUGCUAGGCCUCCUGGUGAACGCGCAGCUCAGCGAUCCGCCGCCUCCGCUUCUCUGGCUCGAACGCGAAGAUGGCCGGCCACCGUGCAGCGUCAGAGGUAUACCUAAGGACCGUUGAGAAAGAGAGAGAAACUCUAAUACUUUUUCCACCUUCCUUUUUUGUAUUUCCUUUUGUUUUGCGAUGAACAUGACGAGUUCAAGAUGAUUGUGUAUCUUUUUUUCUUGAGAAAGUAUGAAUAAAGAAAAUAGAUUUUCCAUUUUUUCUUC